GAUGAACGCUGGCGGCGUGCUUAACACAUGCAAGUCGAACGAUUAAGCCCAGCUUGCUGGUUGGUUUAGUGGCGAACGGGUGAGUAACACGUGAGUAACCUGCUCUUGACUCUGGGAUAAGCCUGGGAAACUGGGUCUAAUACUGGUUCUUACUUCUCAUCGCAUGGUGGGGGGUUGAAAGAUUUCUUUGUCUUGGAUGGACUCGCGGCCUAUCAGCUUGUUGGUGAGGUAAUGGCUCACCAAGGCGAAGACGGGUAGCCGGCCUGAGAGGGUGACCGGCAACAAGGGGACUGAGACACGGCCCAGACUGCUACGGGAGGCAGUAGGGGGGAAUAUUGCACAAUGGGCGCAAGCCUGAUGCAGAGACGCCGCGUGAGGGAAGAAGGCCUUCGGGUUGUAAACCGCUUUAAGUAGGGAAGAAGCGAGAGUGACGGUACCUGCAGAAGAAGCGCCGGCUAACUACGUG
rnacentral:rRNA from 1 species